CAGACCUCGUGAUCCGCCCGUCUCGGCCUCCCAAAGUGCUGGGAUUACAGGCUUGAGUCACCGCGCCCGGCAAAGUGAUUGUUUUAAGGGUGUAUACAUGUGUCCAAACUUACCUGGUUUACACGUGAAAGAGUUUGAUUGUAACUCAUAUUUCACCAGAGUUGCCCAAGUAUGUUUCAGACAAGUUCAGGUGUGUUCAGGGUGGUAUGGGCGUAGAUGUGUACUAGUAUAUUUUACUUUCUUUCCCAUGAAAGAGAAUCUUUCUCUAACUCCUCUUACUGCCCAGCGCCCACAACACCAUCAGAGCCCUGCAGUGGUCACCCUGUAAGGUUCUCUGUCCCUUUAACAUAGAGUUAUUUAGUGCAUUGCACACUGUGCUAAUUUCCCAUGAAUCCCAAACAAUUUGUUAGAAUAUUGUGCGAUUACCUGCUCAUGAGCAGAACCCCACUCUGCACUCAGACCCAGGUCACAGUCACCUCUUCCCCUGGUCCCUGUGGAAGGAGUUUCUCAGGCCUUUGCUCCCAGGGCCCUCUGCGUUCCCACCUCUCUGCAGUCUCCUCACAUUUGAUGUUCAUCAUUUUUCAGAUGUCCCUUUCAAGUAGUAUUUUGGAUAGCCUUUGGUUGAAAUGGCUAUUAAUACCUGUUUUCUUGGGACAUAGCAGGGAUGUGGCCAUGGAUGCUGUGGACUGACAGUAAACAGACUUUCAGGAGACUCCACGCACGUGAUUUCCGCCAAGAGACUCCAGUCUGGCCAGUGAGCAGCAGGGGGCACUGUGGGUCUACCUCAUAGACUGCACAGGGUGAGCCACAGCUGUGCCAACCCCCACCCCCAAUUCCCCAGGGCUGGGCAAUGGAGCCUGCACCCACUGAGGCAGACUCAGCAGCUGUGCCCUCUUUUGGUGUGGUCCCAAUACCUGCCUCCUCCCAGGUCCUGCCUGCUAGAGUCCCCUCUCCACCAGCCCCCAGCUCCUAAAUAAAUGCAUUAGAGGAGGAGAUGGGCAGUGAGGGGGACACAUUGACAUCAUAAUCCCUCCUGUAUGAGGCCUGGGGAGGGGAUAAGAGGCCUGUAUCCAUAACCCCUCCUCUAUGAGGCCAGUGGAGGGAGUAAGAGAGGCCUGCUCCAGCUCUGGACCUCAGGAGGGCUGUGUCCACGCAUGACCUGGGCUGCUUGUUUCCUCCUGCUUCUCUCACUUCUCAGGUAGGGACAGGGCUCACAUUUGCAGGGACAGCUUCUUAGCCUGAAUGAAUCACCCCUGGUAUGGAUGUCCUCUAAGCUUGGAAUUUUCUCCUGUUUCCUUAUCCAUGUGUGUCUGUAGGUUUCUUCUCACAGCCUGUGCUGACUCAGCCACUCCCUCUCUGCAUCUCUGGGAGCAUCGGCCAGACUCGCCUGCACUCUGAGCAGUGGCUUCAUUUUUUCGUGCCUAUCACAUGUCUUGGUACUAGUAGAAGCCAGGGAGCCCUCUCCAGUUUCUCUCAUACUACUACUCAAAAUCAAGUAAGGACCAGGGAGCUGGGGUCCCAAGUCAUUUCCCUGCAUACACACAUGCCUCAGACAAUGCAGGAAUUCUGCACGUUUCUGGGCUUAAGGCAGAGGAUGAGGCUGAUCUUGUAAAACAUCGUGGCAACAGUAACACGCAAUGCUCCAGACCUAGGCGGAAGUGAGAGUGAAACCACCUCUGCGUUCUCCAUGCCUGGUAUAGUCAUCACUGCCCUGCCCGGGACGAAGUGUAGCUCAGGGGUGAUUUCUGCUUUCACUUCUUCAGUUAAGCCUACUUUCCUAGGAUCUGUAAAUGUAAACAUCUUUUUGCUUUUUCUUAGCUAAAAUGUUAAUUUGAUUCUUUGCUAACACCCUUUUCCCCAAUUAUGUUUAUAGUGUCAUCAAUCAGCUCUCAGGAUUCAGCAUCCUUCCAGGGAGAUGAUGGAGGAGAAAGGAGGUGGUGACUCCUCCCAUGCCUAGCCUUGGGCCUAGGCCUGACUCAGAGACGUGUGUGAUCUGAGAGCUUCUGUUCCGUGGUCCAGCAAACCCCAGGCCCGCUCCACUGAGCACCUUCCAGACUGAAGUCACUUUCCCUACAACUGCUCAUUUCAACUUCUUCCUGGGAAUUGUUCUACCCUCUUGAGGCCCAGAGGAAGCAAAUCUGUGUGGCUCCAGGGAUUUUGGGCAAACAGGGUCUUCUCCAUAGUGAGAUGUGACUGUGUCUGUGACCUUCCUGUGUGCACAGGACAGCCAGACUCAGGCGUGCUCCCCCUCAGAGUCAGGUUCUGUAACAGACGUCCCACUCGUGCAUCCCGUGCUUCCUUUCAGAGUCAGGUUCUGUAAUAGACAUCCCACUCCUGCAUCCCGAGGUCAUCUGCUGCUCACGCUGAGACUUCAGUGAGUCUAGGGACUCUCGGGGAUGAGGGACAUUCUCAUAUGAAGAAGAUCCAUCCCACAAAUGUUUCGAUGGAGGAUCGUGGAUCUGUAGGGGAGCUGUGUCCACUCUGAGAUUCCAGGAAGUGACUCUGUGGACACCUUGGCCUGGCCUCCCCUCCUCUGCCUUCUCUGCAGAAAAGCUCCUUCAUUUUCCCUCUUUUCCAUACCCAGGACAGAAUAGAGUCUUUGUACUGGCUUCAGAUAACUGUGAGAGUUAAAAGGGGUAAUCUGUGGGUGACUCCAAAGCCCCUCUCAAAGUUAACUGACUUGGGCUUGUCGUGACUGCACGUGCUCCCCUUCCCAUGACAUCAGCUUUCCCUGAGUUCCCCAGGUGCCCUGAACAUUGAUUCCUGUCUUGUCCUGCAUCUCCCCUGAGCAGCUACAGAUUCUUCCUCCAUAUAACCUCCCUCCUUGCAUGAUUUCUCAUCCGCUUAAUUUAUUAAAAGAUAGAGAAUCUGAGGGUUUUUCCUCUCGGAGUACAAACCCCAAACUACUCAGCUGCCCUGGCCCAGCCCAUCUCUUCUCCUUAUGAGGUUUAUGAGAGGCAGAAGAGCCACGAGCCUUGCUAUUCUUGGAAAUGUCCCAAUAAAGCCCAAUUGGUGCCAACACUAUAGGACAGAGUGCUGUUUGCAUUUGCAGAUGGAGCCCGUUGAGGACAAUUUUCAUUCCUGAAUAUGGAUAUUUGGAAGCGUGGACCAGCUGAGCUGGGGAGGGGAGGCACUCCCUCGUUUUGGACACAGCCUGUUGGGCUGGGAUUGCUACUGACCUCGUGGUGAUGGGGUUAUGUUGCCUCUCAGAAGACAAAAGAUCAGAAAAGUGGACCAGAUUUUCACUCUGAACUGAAACAGAUCUUCAAAAUGAAGUCUCACAUUUUCAACUGACAUCAGAAAGGUAAUGAUACAAAAAUUAUGGAAUUGGAAAAGGAAUGUAAGGCGAUUUAGGUUAAUGUGAAAACUUCUGCAGUUCCUGACACACCUUGGGAAUUUAUUGAAUACAUUUGCACAUGAGAAAGCCGCUGUCCAGGUCAGAGAAAAUUACACAGACAUGAUGGGCAGGAGAAAUGGUGGGAAGUCAGGACUGGGCAGAGGACCUGAAGACAUGAGGAUGAUGCACAGGUCAAAGAGAAGAUUCUCACCAUCGCUGAUGCACACAAAAGUGUAAGUGAAAAUGACACUCAGAUUUCAUCUCACUCCAGUUAGAAUGAAUACUAGCAACAUUUGAUGGCAGUUUUGUUUCUAUAGAGAAUGUGUGUGUGUGUGUAUGUAUACAACCCAAGGGUGCAAGGGACGUUUUCACAUAUGUAUGUGUAGCAUCAUGAUCAAAUUAUCGUCUCUGGCAUCUCUGUGACAUUCCAUCAUUAUUAUUUCUCCGUGGAGAGAAUAUUCAGAACCAUAUUUUUCAGCUGAUUUUGAAAAAAUUUUCUAGAUUCUGUUGACCCUAGUCACCUAGUCACCCUGCUGUGCAGUAGAACACCAGGACGGAUUUCUUGUAUCUGGGUGUCACUCUGUACCUGUUACCAAUAUCUAAGUGUGGUUUUGAUUUACAUUUUGCUGUGGUUAGAGAUGUUUGCCAAGUUAUCAUGAACUUGUUUGAAUUUGAUGUGUAAGACUGGCCAAAGAACCUGAAGACCUGAGAAGGAUGCACAGGUAAAAGAUUCUGAAUCAACAUUACUGAUCCUCACGAGAAGUCAAUCAAAACCACACUCAGAUAUCACCUCACUCCGGUGAGAAUGAACAUUACCAAAAUGGGACAGCAGUUUCAUUGUCGUAGAGUAUGUGUGUAUAACCAGCAGGUGCAAGGGACCAUUUGAUCUGUGUAAACGUAGCAUCAUAAUGAAGUUGCAGUGUCUGGCACCUCUGUGAGCUCCAGAGUUAUGAUUUCUCUGUGGAGAGAACAUUCACAACUGACCUUUGUAGCUGUUUUGAAAAUUUUGGUUUUCUGUUCUUGCCUUUUGUUCAUAAUGGCGUACGGCGCUGUCCAGGUUUCUGGUAAGAGCAUGGAUGUUUUUUUAUGAUUGUGUAGUGUUCCGUGGUGUGUAUGUACCACAUUUCCUUUCUCUGAUCCACUGCUGAUGGGCACCAAGGCUGACUCCAUGUCUUUACCAUUGUGAGUAGUACUGCCGUGAACAUACGAGUGCAUGUGUGUUUUUCAUGGAAGAAUUUUCCCUCAGGUAGAUCCCUUAGGAGUGGGGUUGCAGCGUUGGGUGGUAGUUCUCUUUUAGGUUCUUUGAGAAAUGUCCACACUGCUCCCCAGGGGAUCUGAACUAGUUUGCAUUUCCCCCAACAGUGGACCUGCAUUUCUUUGCUCAUC